UUCCGGUUGAUCCCGCCGGAGGCUACCGCUAUUGGAGUUCGAUUAAGCCAUGCGAGUCGCGAGUCUUAGGGACUCGGCGUACCGCUCAGUAACACGUGGGUAACCUGCCCUAUGCUGGGGGAUAACCUCGGGAAACUGAGAAUAAUACCCCAUAGUUCACCACGCCUGGAACGGUGGGUGGACCAAAGCUCCGGCGGCAUAGGAUGGGCCUGCGGCGUAUCAGGUUGUAGGGGGUGUAAUGUACCCUCUAGCCCUCUACGCGUACGGGUGUUGAGAGACAUCGCCCGGAGAUGGAUUCUGAGACACGAAUCCAGACCCUACGGGGUGCAGCAGGCGCGAAAACUUGGCAAUGCGAGAAAUCGUGACCAGGGAACUCCAAGUGCAUCGGGUAAGACCGAUGCUUUUCUUGACUCUUCAAAGGUCUUGGAAUAAGGGGUGGGUAAGGACGGUGCCAGCCGCCGCGGUAAUACCGGCGCCCCAAGUGGUAGUCGCUUUUAUUGGGCCUAAAACGUCCGUAGCCGGUCUGGUACAUUCGUGGGUAAAUCAACCAGCUCAACUGGUUGAAUUCUGCGAGCACGGCCAGACUUGGGACCGGGAGAGGUGUGGGGUACUCUCAGGGUAGGGGUAAAAUCCUGUCAUCCUGAGAGGACCACCUGUUGCGAAGGCGCCACACUAGAACGGAUCCGACGGUCAGGGACGAAGCCUAGGGGCACGAACCGGAUUAGAUACCCGGGUAGUCCUAGGUGUAAACGCUGUGGACUUGAUGUUGGGGGCGCUCCGAGCGCACUCAGUGUCGAAGCGAAGGUGAUAAGUCCACUGCCUGGGGAGUACGGUCGCAAGGCUGAAACUUAAGGAAUUGGCGGGGGAGCACCGCAACCUGAGGAUUGUGCGGUUUAAUUGGAUUCAACGCCGG
rnacentral:rRNA from 1 species